rnacentral:rRNA from 1 species
GACGAACGCUGGCGGCGUGCUUAACACAUGCAAGUCGAACGGUGAAGCGCCUUCCUUUUUGGUGGGUGUGGAUGAGUGGCGAACGGGUGAGUAACACGUGAGUAACCUGCCCCCUUCUUCUGGAUAACCGCAUGAAAGUGUGGCUAAUACGGGAUAUUCUGGGUCUGUCGCAUGAUGGGUCUGGGAAAGAUAUUGUUUCGGUGGGGGAUGGGCUCGCGGCCUAUCAGCUUGUUGGUGGGGUGAUGGCCUACCAAGGCGGUGACGGGUAGCCGGCCUGAGAGGGUGGACGGUCACACUGGGACUGAGACACGGCCCAGACUCCUACGGGAGGCAGCAGUGGGGAAUAUUGCACAAUGGGCGCAAGCCUGAUGCAGCGACGCCGCGUGAGGGAUGGAGGCCUUCGGGUUGUGAACCUCUUUCGCCAGUGAAGCAGGCCUGCCUCGUUUGUGGGUGGGUUGACGGUAGCUGAAUAAGAAGCGCCGGCUAACUACGUG